AGCUCCAGGCUGGCGCAGGGGCCAGAGGUCGGUGUCCGCCCGGCUCUCGGAGGUGGCUCAUUUCCGCCUCGUGGAGUUCCGCUUCCAGAACGCAUUCCCUAAGGCAGUUAAGAGCCCGCCUGGCUUCUUAGAGUCUGUCAGGGAAGCUGGCUAAAAGUUACAUGUCCCCCAUAGGUCAGACCUGAUCCUGCCUGCGAAAAAGCUUGAAGAGAAAACCAAGAGGUUUUUCCUGUCUACCUUUUAGAUGUUACUUAUGUGUGGGUGCAGACAUGCCAUGGCAUGCAUGUGGCGGUCAGGUGACAACUUAUAGAGCUGGUUCUCCUUUCACCAGGUGAGAGGACACAGAAGUAACAACCCAGCAGCGCAAGGUUGGGAAGAGCCUGGAUCUUGGUUCUAAGACCAUUCUCCAGUAAACGCAAGCAGGUUCAUCGAGGAAAUAGAAGAUUUCAGAAGUGGGCCAAGAAAUAUACUAGAUGAGCCUUGAGUAUCUUGUAGUCCCAGAAAAUAAGCAAGUGCUUUAAAAUAGGAUUCUAUCAAAUGGAUGGAUGUGUACGUCAACUGAAAGAAUUGCCAAAGGCAAAGUUGGAACAACUAGAACAAUAAAAUGAAGA